rnacentral:rRNA from 1 species
GAGUUUGACGUGGCUCAGAUUGAACGCUGGCGGCAUGCCUUACACAUGCAAGUCGAACGGCAGCAUGAUCUAGCUUGCUAGAUUGAUGGCGAGUGGCGAACGGGUGAGUAAUACAUCGGGAACGUGCCCUGUAGUGGGGGAUAACUAGUCGAAAGAUUAGCUAAUACCGCAUACGACCUGAGGGUGAAAGUGGGGGACCGCAAGGCCUCAUGCUAUAGGAGCGGCCGAUGUCUGAUUAGCUAGUUGGUGGGUAAAGGCCCACCAAGGCGACGAUCAGUAGCUGGUCUGAGAGGACGAUCAGCCACACUGGGACUGAGACACGGCCCAGACUCCUACGGGAGGCAGCAGUGGGGAAUUUUGGACAAUGGGCGAAAGCCUGAUCCAGCAAUGCCGCGUGUGUGAGAAGGCCUGGGUGUAAGCACUUUGUCCGGAAGAAAUGGCUCUGGUUAUACCUGGGUCGA